GAUGAACGCUGGCGGCGUGCCUAAUACAUGCAAGUCGAGCGAACGGACGAGAAGCUUGCUUCUCUGAUGUUAGCGGCGGACGGGUGAGUAACACGUGGAUAACCUACCUAUAAGACUGGGAUAACUUCGGGAAACCGGAGCUAAUACCGGAUAAUCUUUUGAACCGCAUGGUUCAAAAGUGAAAGACGGUCUUGCUGUCACUUAUAGAUGGAUCCGCGCUGCAUUAGCUAGUUGGUAAGGUAACGGCUUACCAAGGCAACGAUGCAUAGCCGACCUGAGAGGGGGAUCGGCCACACUGGAGCUGAGACACGGUCCAGACUCCUACGGGAGGCAGCAGUAGGGAAUCUUCCGCAAUGGGCGGAAGCCUGACGGAGCAACGCCGCGUGAGUGAUGAAGGUCUUCGGAUCGUAAAACUCUGUUAUUAGGGAAGAACAUAUGUGUAAGUAACUGUGCACAUAUUGACGGUAACUAAUCAGAAAGCCACGGCUAACUACGUG
rnacentral:rRNA from 1 species